CCCAUCAGAAGGGGAUAACACUUGGAAACAGGUGCUAAUACCGUAUAACAAUCAAAACCGCAUGGUUUUGAUUUGAAAGGCGCUUUCGGGUGUCGCUGAUGGAUGGACCCGCGGUGCAUUAGCUAGUUGGUGAGGUAACGGCUCACCAAGGCCACGAUGCAUAGCCGACCUGAGAGGGUGAUCGGCCACAUUGGGACUGAGACACGGCCCAAACUCCUACGGGAGGCAGCAGUAGGGAAUCUUCGGCAAUGGACGAAAGUCUGACCGAGCAACGCCGCGUGAGUGAAGAAGGUUUUCGGAUCGUAAAACUCUGUUGUUAGAGAAGAACAAGGAUGAGAGUAACUGUUCAUCCCUUGACGGUAUCUAACCAGAAAGCCACGGCUAACUACGUGCCAGCAGCCGCGGUAAUACGUAGGUGGCAAGCGUUGUCCGGAUUUAUUGGGCGUAAAGCGAGCGCAGGCGGUUUCUUAAGUCUGAUGUGAAAGCCCCCGGCUCAACCGGGGAGGGUCAUUGGAAACUGGGAGACUUGAGUGCAGAAGAGGAGAGUGGAAUUCCAUGUGUAGCGGUGAAAUGCGUAGAUAUAUGGAGGAACACCAGUGGCGAAGGCGGCUCUCUGGUCUGUAACUGACGCUGAGGCUCGAAAGCGUGGGGAGCAAACAGGAUUAGAUACCCUGGUAGUCCACGCCGUAAACGAUGAGUGCUAAGUGUUGGAGGGUUUCCGCCCUUCAGUGCUGCAGCUAACGCAUUAAGCACUCCGCCUGGGGAGUACGACCGCAAGGUUGAAACUCAAAGGAAUUGACGGGGGCCCGCACAAGCGGUGGAGCAUGUGGUUUAAUUCGAAGCAACGCGAAGAACCUUACCAGGUCUUGACAUCCUUUGACCACUCUAGAGAUAGAGCUUCCCCUUCGGGGGCAAAGUGACAGGUGGUGCAUGGUUGUCGUCAGCUCGUGUCGUGAGAUGUUGGGUUAAGUCCCGCAACGAGCGCAACCCUUAUUGUUAGUUGCCAUCAUUCAGUUGGGCACUCUAGCAAGACUGCCGGUGACAAACCGGAGGAAGGUGGGGAUGACGUCAAAUCAUCAUGCCCCUUAU
rnacentral:rRNA from 1 species